ensembl:lncRNA
CUGUAAUGCUUAUGGGGGAGGUGUUGCUGUAUAUAUUCAGAGACAUAUCCCUGUAAUGCUUAUGGGGGAGGUGUUGCUAUAUAUAUUCAGAGACAUAUCCCUGUAAUGCUUAUGGGGGAGGUGUUGCUAUAUAUAUUCAGAGACAUAUCCCUGUAAUGCUUAUGGGGGAGGUGUUGCUAUAUAUAUUCAGAGACAUAUCCCUGUAAUGCUUAUGGGGGAGGUGUUGCUGUAUAUAUUCAGAGACAUAUCCCUGUAAGGCUUAUGGGGGAGGUGUUGCUGUAUAUUUUCAGAUCCAUAUCCCUGUAAUGCUUAUGGGGGAGGUGCUGUAUAUUUUCAGAUCCAUAUCCCUGUAAUGCUUAUGGGGGAGGUGCUGUAUAUUUUCAGAGACAUAUCCCUGUAAUGCUUAGAGAAGAUGUCAAGUGAUAUUGAAGUGUUGUGGUUGCAGGUUCACUUGACACAUCUAGAGCCUUUUCUUUUGGGGUGUUUCUAUAGGCCACUAAGUGCUAACCAAGUAUAUAAAUAAUAUGUGUGAAAUGCUUGAUAGUGUAUGUGAUGUAAACAAAGAGGUCUACUUUCUUGGGGACCUGAAUAUUGACUGUUUUCCAUGAAGCUGUCCCUUCAAGAGGAAGCUUUUCACUGUAACCAGUGCCUGUAAUCUGGUUCAGGUUAUUAAUCGUUCUACCAGGGUGUUUACAAACACUACAGGAACAAGAUUAUCCACAUACACUACUGUUCAAAAGUUUGGGGUCACGUAGAAAUGUCCUUGUUUUUGAAAGAAAACCACAUUUUUUGUCCAUUAAAAUAACAUCAAAUUGAUCAGAAA